GCGAUAGUGGUGUAGCAGCAUAGUAGCCUUCCAAGCUGUUGACCGGAGUUCGAUUCUCCGCUAUCGCA
rnacentral:tRNA from 1 species